CCUACGGGGCGCUGCAGUGGGGAAUAUUGGACAAUGGGCGAAAGCCUGAUCCAGCCAUGCCGCGUGUGCGAAGAAGGCCUUCGGGUUGUAAAGCACUUUCAGUGGGGAAGAAAGCCUUGGGGCUAAUACCCUCGAGGAAGGACAUCACCCACAGAAGAAGCACCGGCUAACUCCGUGCCAGCAGCCGCGGUAAUACGGAGGGUGCGAGCGUUAAUCGGAAUUACUGGGCGUAAAGCGCGCGUAGGCGGUCUGAUAAGCCGGUUGUGAAAGCCCCGGGCUCAACCUGGGAACGGCAUCCGGAACUGUCAGGCUAGAGUGCAGGAGAGGAAGGUAGAAUUCCCGGUGUAGCGGUGAAAUGCGUAGAGAUCGGGAGGAAUACCAGUGGCGAAGGCGGCCUUCUGGACUGACACUGACGCUGAGGUGCGAAAGCGUGGGUAGCAAACAGGAUUAGAUACCCCAGUAGUC
rnacentral:rRNA from 1 species